rnacentral:rRNA from 1 species
AGAGUUUGAUCAUGGCUCAGGACGAACGCUGGCGGCGUGCUUAACACAUGCAAGUCGAACGGAAAGGCCCUUCGGGGUACUCGAGUGGCGAACGGGUGAGUAACACGUGGGUGAUCUGCCCUGCACUUUGGGAUAAGCCUGGGAAACUGGGUCUAAUACCGAAUAGGACCACGCGCUUCAUGGUGUGUGGUGGAAAGCUUUUGCGGUGUGGGAUGGGCCCGCGGCCUAUCAGCUUGUUGGUGGGGUAAUGGCCUACCAAGGCGACGACGGGUAGCCGGCCUGAGAGGGUGACCGGCCACACUGGGACUGAGAUACGGCCCAGACUCCUACGGGAGGCAGCAGUGGGGAAUAUUGCACAAUGGGCGCAAGCCUGAUGCAGCGACGCCGCGUGAGGGAUGACGGCCUUCGGGUUGUAAACCUCUUUCAAUAGGGACGAAGCGCAAGUGACGGUACCUAUAGAAGAAGCACCGGCCAACUACGUGCCAGCAGCCGCGGUAAUACGUAGGGUGCGAGCGUUGUCCGGAAUUACUGGGCGUAAAGAGCUCGUAGGUGGUUUGUCGCGUUGUUCGUGAAAACUCACAGCUUAACUGUGAGCGUGCGGGCGAUACGGGCAGACUAGAGUACUGCAGGGGAGACUGGAAUUCCUGGUGUAGCGGUGGAAUGCGCAGAUAUCAGGAGGAACACCGGUGGCGAAGGCGGGUCUCUGGGCAGUAACUGACGCUGAGGAGCGAAAGCGUGGGGAGCGAACAGGAUUAGAUACCCUGGUAGUCC